rnacentral:rRNA from 1 species
GAUGAGCGCUGGCGGCGUGCCUAAUACAUGCCAGUCGAGCGAACAGACGAGGAGCUUGCUCCUUCGACGUUAGCGGCGGACGGGUGAGUAACACGUAGGUAACCUACCUAUAAGACUGGGAUAACUUCGGGAAACCGGAGCUAAUACCGGAUAAUAUUUCGAACCGCAUGGUUCGAUAGUGAAAGAUGGCUUUGCUAUCACUUAUAGAUGGACCUGCGCCGUAUUAGCUAGUUGGUAAGGUAACGGCUUACCAAGGCAACGAUACGUAGCCGACCUGAGAGGGUGAUCGGCCACACUGGAACUGAGACACGGUCCAGACUCCUACGGGAGGCAGCAGUAGGGAAUCUUCCGCAAUGGGCGAAAGCCUGACGGAGCAACGCCGCGUGAGUGAUGAAGGUCUUCGGAUCGUAAAACUCUGUUAUUAGGGAAGAACAAACGUGUAAGUAACUGUGCACGUCUUGACGGUACCUAAUCAGAAAGCCACGGCUAACUACGUG